AUUGAACGCUGGCGGCAGGCCUAACACAUGCAAGUCGAGCGGGGUUUUCGGACCUAGCGGCGGACGGGUGAGUAAUGCGUAGGAAGCUGCCCGAUAGAGGGGGAUACCAGUUGGAAACGACUGUUAAUACCGCAUAAUGUCUACGGACCAAAGUGUGGGACCUUCGGGCCACAUGCUAUCGGAUGCGCCUACGUGGGAUUAGCUAGUUGGUGAGGUAAUGGCUCACCAAGGCGACGAUCUCUAGCUGGUUUGAGAGGAUGAUCAGCCACACUGGAACUGAGACACGGUCCAGACUCCUACGGGAGGCAGCAGUGGGGAAUAUUGGACAAUGGGCGCAAGCCUGAUCCAGCCAUGCCGCGUGUGUGAAGAAGGCCUUCGGGUUGUAAAGCACUUUCAGCGAGGAGGAAGGGAUGUAUGUAAAUAGCAUGCAUUUUUGACGUUACUCGCAGGAGAAGCACCGGCUAACUCUGUGCCAGCCGCCGCGGUAAUAC
rnacentral:rRNA from 1 species